UACGUAGGGUGCGAGCGUUGCCCGGAUUUAUUGGGCGUAAAGGGCGCGUAGGCGGCCACGCACGUCCGUUGUGAAAUCGCCCGGCUCAACUGGGCGGGGUCGGCGGAUACGGCGUGGCUGGAGCAAGCUAGGGGGCAAUGGAAUUCCCGGUGUAGUGGUGGAAUGCGUAGAUAUCGGGAGGAACACCAGUGGCGAAGGCGGUUGCCUGGAGCUUUGCUGACGCUGAGGCGCGAAAGCG
rnacentral:rRNA from 1 species